AUUGAACGCUGGCGGCAGGCCUAACACAUGCAAGUCGAGCGAGCGGCGGACGGGUGAGUAUGGUAUGGGGACCGCCCGAUAGAGGUGGAUAACUACUGGAAACGGUAGAUAAUACCGCAUACUAUAGGAUAACACACAUGUGAUUAGCUAGUAGGUGGGGUAAUGGCUCACCUAGGCGACGAUCCCUAGCUGGUCUGAUAGGAUGAUCAGCCACACUGGGACUGAGACACGGCCCAGACUCCUACGGAGGCAGCAGUGGGGAAUAUUGCACAAGGGGCGCCAGCCUGAUGCAGCCAUGCCGCGUGUAUGAAGAAGGCCCUAGGGUUGUAAAGUACUUUCAGUCGGGAGGCGUUACCGACAGAAGAAGCACCGGCUAACUCCGUGCCAGCAGCCGCGGUAAUUC
rnacentral:rRNA from 1 species